rnacentral:rRNA from 1 species
GAUCAUUAAAGAGUAAGGGUGCUCAGCGCCCGACCUCCAACCCUUUGUUGUUAAAACUACCUUGUUGCUUUGGCGGGACCGCUCGGUCUCGAGCCGCUGGGGAUUCGUCCCAGGCGAGCGCCCGCCAGAGUUAAACCAAACUCUUGUUAUUAAACCGGUCGUCUGAGUUAAAAUUUUGAAUAAAUCAAAACUUUCAACAACGGAUCUCUUGGUUCUCGCAUCGAUGAAGAACGCAGCGAAAUGCGAUAAGUAAUGUGAAUUGCAGAAUUCAGUGAAUCAUCGAAUCUUUGAACGCACAUUGCGCCCCUUGGUAUUCCGAGGGGCAUGCCUGUUCGAGCGUCAUUACACCACUCAAGCUAUGCUUGGUAUUGGGUGCCGUCCUUAGUUGGGCGCGCCUUAAAGACCUCGGCGAGGCCUCACCGGCUUUAGGCGUAGUAGAAUUUAUUCGAACGUCUGUCAAAGGAGAGGACUUCUGCCGACUGAAACCUUUAUUUUUCUAGGUUGACCUCGGAUCAGGUAGGGAUACCCGCUGAACUUAAGCAUAUCAAUAAGCGGAGGAAAAGAAACCAACAGGGAUUGCCCUAGUAACGGCGAGUGAAGCGGCAACAGCUCAAAUUUGAAAGCUGGCCUUCGGGUCCGCAUUGUAAUUUGUAGAGGAUGCUUUGGGUGAAACGCCAGUCUAAGUUCCUUGGAACAGGACGUCAUAGAGGGUGAGAAUCCCGUAUGUGACUGGAAAUGUUAACCUAUGUAAAGCUCCUUCGACGAGUCGAGUUGUUUGGGAAUGCAGCUCUAAAUGGGAGGUAAAUUUCUUCUAAAGCUAAAUAUUGGCGAGAGACCGAUAGCGCACAAGUAGAGUGAUCGAAAGAUGAAAAGCACUUUGGAAAGAGAGUUAAAAAGCACGUGAAAUUGUUGAAAGGGAAGCGCUUGCAAUCAGACUUGUUUAAACUGUUCGGCCGGUCUUCUGACCGGUUUACUCAGUUUGGACAGGCCAGCAUCAGUUUCGGCGGCCGGAUAAAGGCUCUGGGAAUGUGGCCUUCACUUCGGUGAAGGUGUUAUAGCCCAGGGUGUAAUACGGCCAGCCGGGACUGAGGUCCGCGCU